UACAGAGGUCUCAAGCGUUGUUCGGAUUCAUUGGGCGUAAAGGGUGCGUAGGUGGCGCCGUAAGUCAGGGGUGAAAUCCCGGAGCUCAACUCCGGAACUGCCUUUGAUACUGGCAAUCUUGAGGCUGGAAGAGGUUAGUGGAAUUCCCAGUGUAGAGGUGAAAUUCGUAGAUAUUGGGAAGAACACCAGUGGCGAAGGCGGCUAACUGGUCCAGAUCUGACGCUGAGGUGCGAAAGCGUGGGGAGCAAACAGG
rnacentral:rRNA from 1 species